AAGUUUGAUCAUGGCUCAGAACGUACGCUGGCGGCACGCCUAAUACAUGCAAGUCGAACGAAGUAGCAAUACUUAGUGGCAGACGGGUGAGUAACAUGUGGGUAUCUUCCCUUUGGUGAGGAAUAACACGAGGAAACUUGUGCUAAUACCUCAUAAGUCUUUACGGAGAAAGCUUUAUGCGCCAAUGGACGAGCCCGCACUUGAUUAGUUUGUUGGUAGGGUAAUGGCCUACCAAGACUGUGAUCAAUAGCUGAUUUGAGAGGAUGAUCAGCCACAUUGGGAUUGAGACACGGCCCAAACUCCUACGGGAGGCAGCAGUAGGGAAUCUUGCACAAUGGAGGAAACUCUGAUGCAGCGAUGCCGCGUGAGUGAAGAAGGCCCUUGGGUUGUAAAGCUCUUUCGUCGGGGAAGAAAAUGACUGUACCCGAAUAAGAAGGUCCGGCUAACUUCGUGCCAGCAGCCGCGGUAAUACGAAGGGACCUAGCGUAGUUCGGAAUUACUGGGCUUAAAGAGUUCGUAGGUGGUUAAAAAAGUUGGUGGUGAAAUCCCAGAGCUUAACUCUGGAACUGCCAUCAAAACUUUUUAGCUAGAGUAUGAUAGAG
rnacentral:rRNA from 1 species